rnacentral:rRNA from 1 species
UGGUCGAAGGCCGUAGGUUGAAACGCAGGCAAAUCCGUGUUUCAUUAGACCGAGAGCUUACAGGCAGAGCAAUCUCUUCGGAGAGCGCUCUGAAUCAAUGAUACUGUCGUGCCGAGAAAAGCCUCUAAACGAGAACAACGGUUGCCCCGUACCGUAAACCGACACAGGUGGGUGAGAUGAGUAUUCUAAGGCGCGUGGAAGAACCCUGGUUAAGGAACUCUGCAAACUAGCACCGUAUCUUCGGUAUAAGGUGUGCCCUAUUUGUUAAAGGACUUGCUCCUUGAAGCAUUGAUGGGUCGCAGCAAAGAGUCCCUCCCGACUGUUUACCAAAACACAGCACUCUGCUAACUCGUAAGAGGAUGUAUAGGGUGUGACGCCUGCCCGGUGCUCGAAUGUUAAAAAGGAUGUGUCAGCGCAAGCGAAGCAUUGAAUUGAAGCACGAGUAAACGGCGGCCGUAAC